GACGGAGGGUGCAAGUGUUAUCCGGAUUCAUUGGGUUUAAAGGGUACGUAGGCGGCCUGAUCAGUUAGUGAUGAAAACUAACAGCUUAACUGUUAGCCUGUUACUAAUACUGUCAGGCUUGAGUAUAGUCGAGGUGGGUGGAAUUCUACAUGUAGCGGUGAAAUGCUUAGAUAUGUAGAGGAACACCGAUAACGAAGGUAACUCACUAGGCUAUUACUGACGCUGAGGUACGAAAGCGUGGGGAGCGAACAGG
rnacentral:rRNA from 1 species